rnacentral:rRNA from 5 species
GAAACCGAGUCUUAAUUGGGCGUUAAGUUGCAGGGUAUAGACCCGAAACCCGGUGAUCUAGCCAUGGGCAGGUUGAAGGUUGGGUAACACUAACUGGAGGACCGAACCGACUAAUGUUGAAAAAUUAGCGGAUGACCUGUGGCUGGGGGUGAAAGGCCAAUCAAACCGGGAGAUAGCUGGUUCUCCCCGAAAGCUAUUUAGGUAGCGCCUCGUGAAUUCAUCUCCGGGGGUAGAGCACUGUUUCGGCUAGGGGGCCAUCCCGGCUUACCAACCCGAUGCAAACUGCGAAUACCGGAGAAUGUUAUCACGGGAGACACACGGCGGGUGCUAACGUCCGUCGUGAAGAGGGAAACAACCCAGACCGCCAGCUAAGGUCCCAAAGUCAUGGUUAAGUGGGAAACGAUGUGGGAAGGCCCAGACAGCCAGGAUGUUGGCUUAGAAGCAGCCAUCAUUUAAAGAAAGCGUAAUAGCUCACUGGUCGAGUCGGCCUGCGCGGAAGAUGUAACGGGGCUAAACCAUG